rnacentral:rRNA from 1 species
GAUGAACGCUGGCGGCGUGCUUAACACAUGCAAGUCGAACGGAAAGGCGCUGCUUUUGUGGGGUGCUUGAGUGGCGAACGGGUGAGUAACACGUGAGUAACCUGCCCUUGACUUUGGGAUAACUUUAGGAAAAUGGGGCUAAUACCGGAUAGGAGCUCUUGAUGCGUGGUGGGGGUUGGAGAGUUUCGGCGGUGGGGGAUAGACUAGCGGCUUAUCAGCUUGUUUGUGUAGUAGGUGAGUACCAAGGCUUCGACGGGUAGCCGGCCUUGGAGGGUGAACAGCGACAUUGGGACUGAGGUACGCCCCAGACUGCUACGUGCGGCAGUGGUGGAAAAUAUUGCACAAUGGGCCGGCGUGUGAUACAACGACGCCGCGUGCGGAAUGACGGCUUUCUGGUUAUAAACCGCUUUCUCCUGUGACGAAGCGUUCGUGACGGUAACGGAUAAAGAAGCACCGGCUAACUACGUG